rnacentral:rRNA from 1 species
GACGAACGCUGGCGGCGUGCCUAAUACAUGCAAGUUGAGCGCUGAAGGUUGGUACUUGUACCAACUGGAUGAGCAGCGAACGGGUGAGUAACGCGUGGGGAAUCUGCCUUUGAGCGGGGGACAACAUUUGGAAACGAAUGCUAAUACCGCAUAAAAACUUUAAACACAAGUUUUAAGUUUGAAAGAUGCAAUUGCAUCACUCAAAGAUGAUCCCGCGUUGUAUUAGCUAGUUGGUGAGGUAAAGGCUCACCAAGGCGAUGAUACAUAGCCGACCUGAGAGGGGGAUCCGCCACAUUGGGACUGAGACACGGCCCAAACUCCUACGGGGGGCAGCAGUAGGGAAUCUUCGGCAAGGGACGAAAGUCUGACCGAGCAACGCCGCGGGGGUGAAGAAGGUUUUCGGAUCGUAAAACUUUGUUGGUAGAAAAGAACGUUGGGGAGGGGGGAAAGCUCAUCAAGUGACGGUAACUACCCAGAAAGGGACGGCUAACUACGU